GAUUGAACGCUGGCGGCAGGCCUAACACAUGCAAGUCGAACGGUAACAUUUCUAGCUUGCUAGAAGAUGACGAGUGGCGGACGGGUGAGUAAUGCUUGGGAACUUGCCUUUGCGAGGGGGAUAACAGUUGGAAACGACUGCUAAUACCGCAUAACGUCUACGGACCAAACGGGGCUUAGGCUCCGGCGCAAAGAGAGGCCCAAGUGAGAUUAGCUAGUUGGUAAGGUAAUGGCUUACCAAGGCAACGAUCUCUAGCUGUUCUGAGAGGAAGAUCAGCCACACUGGAACUGAGACACGGUCCAGACUCCUACGGGAGGCAGCAGUGGGGAAUAUUGCACAAUGGGGGAAACCCUGAUGCAGCCAUGCCGCGUGUGUGAAGAAGGCCUUCGGGUUGUAAAGCACUUUCAGUUGUGAGGAAAAGUUAGUAGUUAAUACCUGCUAGCCGUGACGUUAACAACAGAAGAAGCACCGGCUAACUCCGUGCCAGCAGCCGCGGUAAUACGGAGGGUGCGAGCGUUAAUCGGAAUUACUGGGCGUAAAGCGCACGCAGGCGGUUUGUUAAGCUAGAUGUGAAAGCCCCGGGCUCAACCUGGGAUAGUCAUUUAGAACUGGCAGACUAGAGUCUUGGAGAGGGGAGUGGAAUUCCAGGUGUAGCGGUGAAAUGCGUAGAUAUCUGGAGGAACAUCAGUGGCGAAGGCGACUCCCUGGCCAAAGACUGACGCUCAUGUGCGAAAGUGUGGGUAGCGAACAGGA
rnacentral:rRNA from 1 species